rnacentral:lncRNA from 1 species
GUUGGAAUAACAAAUUUAUAUUACCCACAAUUGGGAGAAGGGCUACUACUCCACCAGCUACCACACAUAUCCUUUGCAAUUUAAGCAUCCGACAACUAGAGAAGAUCGAUUUUUGGAAAGCAAAGCCCCAAAGUGCAGGGUUGGAAAAUGAAAUGAUUCACUCAUCUUUUGCCUCUAAGCUUUAUCUGAACUAUGAAAUUCUACCUCAUCAAUGUCAUCUUCUCCUCCUCUAUGGCUCUUAUAAAUUGCUCUUCAAGUGCAACACUCUCAGUCUCUAGACCAUGUUCCCCUAACGGUGUCAAAAUUGGAGAGUUACCAACUUGAUGCUUCAACUUUUCCUUAUCUGGUGUGGCAUUUGAUUCUUAAAAUAAUUCAAGAGCUUUGUUGUCUAAUAUCUGGUGACUGAGGCAAGUGAUCUUCCAUGAAAUGCCAU